rnacentral:rRNA from 1 species
UACGGAGGGUGCAAGCGUUAAUCGGAAUUACUGGGCGUAAAGCGCACGCAGGCGGUCAAUUAAGUCAGAUGUGAAAGCCCCGAGCUUAACUUGGGAAUUGCAUCUGAAACUGGUUGGCUAGAGUCUGGUAGAGGGGGGUAGAAUUCCAUGUGUAGCGGUGAAAUGCGUAGAGAUGUGGAGGAAUACCAGUGGCGAAGGCGGCCCCCUGGACCAAGAUUGACGCUCAGGUGCGAAAGCGUGGGGAGCAAACAUG